rnacentral:tRNA from 1 species
UGAGAUAUGUCUUAGUGAAGAGUGCUUGUCUUGUAUUACAAGGCCCUGGGUUCAAUCCCCAAUAUCACAA